AACUUCAGUCUGAAAGCUCACCGGGCUCUUUCAGAGUCAAAGCAGAGACUCCAGUUCAUCCUCGGGGUGAAAGGCCAGGCUCUCUUCCUAAAGAUACAAACCAGACCUUUAUGCACAGGUACAGCUUCCUGUCUGAGCAGGAAACUCACGUCUUUCAACUCUCAGAACUGCUCUUCCUCUGCUCAACUGGCCUUUGUUGCACCUGAGCUCCACCUCUGUCACAGAGCAGUGCUGCCGCUCCAGGAAGUGUUUUGUGUCACCUGUGGGUGGGGCACAGAAGCAGAGACAGAAAAAGUAAAGGAGGGGAACAGGGACUUGCGGGUCAAACAGUUAAAUGACUUUCAGGGUUCAGGUUUUUCUAGCAGGUCGACAGGUGACCCUCCUCCUCCUCCUUCCUCCUCUGCCCGGGGGCAGCAAAAUCUAGAAGAGUGUGUUUUGCUUGUGCCUCAGGGAUCAGGGGAACCGCAGCCGGCAGAGGCGCAGCCAAGGCCCCGCCCCCCUGCAGCUACACUCCACCUGUGUCUGGAACAGGUGAACCAGCUCGAGCUGUGGCUGCUCACAGCGGAGCAGAGCGUGGCGUCUGCUGGAGCUGCCAUGCAUAAAGGCGUAGAAGAGCAGCUCCGCACCUACCAGGAGAUGAUUCAGGAGAUCGAGGUGAAGGUCUCCAGCCUGUCAGAGCACAGAUGCGCUCUCGACCUGCAGAAGUCACAUGAGGCGUCCCAGCGAGAGGAGGCGGAGCUUCUGAUCUCCAGACUGGAGCUCCUGAAAGUCAAGCUGGUGUCCUUCCAGCAGCUGCUGCAGGACGGACACGGCGAGGAAAACAUCUGUGACGGAGAGCCAGAAGAACAGGUUCUUACCUUCUAAAACGCUUCAGACUGCAAGAAAACGAGCCAAACGUUAAUGCCUCUACAUGACUUAGAACAAUACAAAAAAAAUGUCUGCUGAUGUCAGCAGAAAACUCGUCUUUCAUAUUUCUGUCUUUUCUUUCCUAUUUUUACCUUAGAGCUCUCUCCCCCAGACACAGCCCCCCCUUGAGACGGUGCUAAAGCGCAGCAGCGAUGUCCAGGAAAUCUUUUCCUCGCCGCAAAAUACGCUUCUCAGACAAAGCAGCCUGCAGCAACAGAAGGUAAUUCUCGUGAUUCCUAAAUGCAUUCAUAAAGAUGGUUUAGGUAUAACGGAUCAACUGUUUGGUAUUUGAGAAGUUCAUGACAUCAGAGGAUGGAUCCUGAGAACUGGACCUAAUGAGUGUGACCCGUAGAAAAUGGCCUACUUCCAAAAAGGACGUCAAUUCCGUUACCAUUUUUCGCUACAUGGACGUUGUCAUGGAACCAAAAAUCAUCAGUUAGCAGUAUUUGAUGUGAAUCAUAGUUAACAUUCCUAUGGCAACCACUCUUGCCAAUCAGGAGUGAGCUUGUUGGAGGCCACACCCCUACUAUUUGCCUACUAUGUGCAAUACCUGUCAAUCAAACGUUUUGUACGUGAGACAUGAGACCACAAACUUCUACUGAGGCCUUUGAAAGGUCACUUUAUAACUUCAAUAACUUACCAUAAAGAAAAAAAAUAUCAUUAAAAAACAUGUAGGGUUAUUAAGAAGAUUUUUAAAAGUAGCAGAGCAAAACCAGUUGUUCUGACCAUAGAAUGAGUACAAACUGUUUCCUUUUCUAUAGAAGUCUGUGGGAUUUUGGCUUCCUGGAGUCAGCGGGUACUUCCUGAGGGGGUCACUCAGUCCAGUUCUCAUAUAGUCAAUAGAGGUUGGUUAAGCAAACAGAAACAGAUUUCUCAUUUUCAGUGUUUAGGCUCUGGUCGAAUAUUACAUCAAGGAAUCAUUUACUGGAAAACUUGCAUUUGUGGGUGAUUGAAGACGUGGUUUGCAGAACCUGAAAUGAAUGAUCAAAAGUAAAAAUAAAAACAUGAAACACAUGGCGGCCGGAGGGACAGGCGUAA
ensembl:lncRNA